AAAAGUUGAAGAGAACUUAUUUAUGGUUAAUAAUAACAUUUCCCCAUCUGGAACUAUAUUUUAGCAUAAUAUGAAAUUUUGCCAUAAAAUAGUACUUAAAAUUGCUUGAAUACAUCAUUAUUACCAAUAAAUAGAGCUGACUAGAUUAUUUCAGCUCUAUUUAUGAAAAUAACUUAAAACGCACAAAAAUGAAUUAUUUAUUCUUGCUGUUCAUCGUUGUUGCUGUAUUAGUAGCAAUAGUCUGUGGCCAGCUCAGUUCAGACUGUGGAUUUAAAGGGAAAUGUGAACCACCACAUUGUCAAAUGACACUCUUUUUGGGAUGUCCAGCCUGUACUUGCAUAGGCGGGAUGCCGUAGAACAUCAUAUGCAACUUGUAUGCCGAAUCCCAUCCUGCAUUCAAGCUAGAGGUGGCCCAAGAGAGUAUUGAAACCUGAGUUCAUUUGUAUUUUUUUCUGCAAUAAAAUUGAUUUAUCAAUCA